rnacentral:rRNA from 1 species
UACGUAGGGGGCAAGCGUUGUCCGGAAUCAUUGGGCGUAAAGAGCGUGUAGGCGGCCCGGUAAGUCCGCUGUGAAAGUCCAGGGCUCAACCCUGGGAUGCCGGUGGAUACUGUCGGGCUCGAGUCCGGAAGAGGCGAGUGGAAUUCCUGGUGUAGCGGUGAAAUGCGCAGAUAUCAGGAGGAACACCGGUGGCGAAGGCGGGACUCUGGGCCGAUACUGACGCUGAGGAGCGAAAGCCAGGGGAGCAAACGGG